CCAGGUGUCCUAGGUCUUGAACUUUUAUCAAAAGUUUAUCAUCUUAUUUUACAGUUUUAUAAUUUUAGUUCAUAUUUAAUUACCACCUAAGAUGUAAACUAGUUUUGCUUAAAGGCUAUGGAAUUGAUUAUUGCAGUUAAAUUUUACUUCUCAAACCUGUGUUCACAGAAAGUUCAGCAUCCUCUGUUGAGUCACCUACAAACGCUGCUUUGAUCUCAAAAGAGACAACCCCAGUGGCACAAAAUGCAGCCCAGGUUCUUGAGUCCUUUGAACACUUGCCACCUCUCCCAGAGCCACCACCACUACUACCUGAACUGGUAGACAAAAUCCGAGAUACACUUCCUCCCCAGAAGCCUGAGCUCAAAGUGAAACGGGUGCUGAGACCCAGGGGCAUUGCCCUGACUUGGAACAUCACCAAAAUCAAUCCCAAGUGCGCUCCCGUGGAAAGCUAUCACCUCUUCCUCUGCCAUGAGAACCCUAACAAUAAGUUGAUUUGGAAGAAAAUUGGAGAAAUUAAAGCUUUGCCACUCCCAAUGGCCUGUACUUUAUCUCAAUUUUUAGCUUCCAACAAAUACUAUUUUACUGUCCAAUCAAAAGACAUUUUUGGGCGAUAUGGACCAUUUUGUGACAUAAAAUCUAUCCCUGGGUUUUCUGAAAAUCUUACCUAAAAGAAAAGUCUUGAGUAAUUAUAUAUUGUAUGGCACUGUUUUUUUUCAUAUUUGAGUUGUUGGUUUACAGUGUUCUCUAACACUGUUUGCCAUCUUAAAGGGCCAGUUGAGAUUGUGAACCCUUUGUAUAGGGACAGUCCUCUUCCCUAUGUUCUAAGAGGCCUCUCGUUUCAUGAAUUUGUGAUUUGCGUUCAGUAAGUACUCCAGCGGCUAUGUUCUACAGCCUACACUCUGGCGGACCCGCAUCGCUGAGCAGUGCUGUGCACAGUGCCACUGCUGACUGGGGGCUGCUGCGCACUUCCAUCCAGAGCCCUCGCGUGGAAGCCGCCACUGUUCCCUCUGCUGGCAAUCCACGCUUGGUGGUCAGUGCAGGUCGGUGAAAAAUCCGCUUUUUAGGAGGCAGGCUCAUCCCGGGGGUGCAUCUCACCAAGAUCUUACAUAAAUAAGUGUCUUCUCAUUCUGUUCAAAAUCUAAGGGCUAUUAAUUUGCCCGCUCCCUUAUUUUUCUUUUUUGGCUAUUCAGUUACUUGGGGAAAGAGUCUGGAGGUUUUCCCUAAAUCUGUUUGUAUAUUUAUAUUUAGAUAUGUAAUAAAAUUAGUUAAACAUUGUGUGCUAUGUACACAAAACGUAGAGUCUCUCUUAUAAAAGCAUUAUCCAACCCACUGUUUCUGCUCCAGAAAAUGGAGUUGUCUGCCUUAGGCUUAAGGCUUUCAUUUGUUGAUUCUUUGGUGCUACUCUCUGUUCAUCGCCCAGCUGCCAUGGUUCCUCAGAGGAACCCUGAAGGACCCCGAGAGAGGAGUCCCGGGCACACCCCUGUCUGAGGGGCACUGAAGUGAAGCUGUGGCUAGCACAAGUCGCCCAAGAAGCUCAACGAGCGGGCACACUGGAUAAGCGUGAGUCAGGGCCCAGUGCGAUGCUGAGAAAACAAACGUAACUAUUAGUGUGAAGAACAGUCUGCCCGCCAGAGGCGUUCUUUCCUGGUACGUGAUGAAUGUUCAGUCCUAGACGCUCUGAGAUUUCAAAAAUUGAAUGAGGAAUGGUUUUCUUUGGCAUUUUAUGAAUGUCUUCACAUCUUCGGUCAUAUAUAAAGUUUUAUUUUUCAGUC